AUGUUACUUUCAGGAAAAACAAAAUCGUCACCUUCAGAUGUAUUGCCACCGCGAGCUCUGUGUUCAUCUCCGCCGCGAUCUUGUUUGACGUCUCGCCAACACCAUGCAUCAGCCGCCUUCAGCCGCAGACAUCAGAUGCUACCAUCGCAUCACAGCCAGCGUCGACGAAACCCAUACGGCUGCAUUGCUUCUCCGGCCGCCAUCAUCAUUUUCCGACAUGAAAACGCAAUUGUGCCUCACACCGCUCUGACAUCUACCAUUGCUUCCAGAUCGCUUACCGUCGCGUGUUCGACAAUCGUCCAUCGCACUCCCCGACUCCAAUAG